ensembl:lncRNA
CUGCCCUGGGUGCUCCGCCAAGGGACGUCCCCGCCCUGCACCCCCACCCCCGGGACACAAAGAACUGUCCAUUUUGAAAGCUUGCCUCCAAAGCGGCCCCAGGAGACUGCUGCCCCAACUUUGGAGGGCGAGGCGAGGGGACUCUCCUGUUUUGAUCCCCCCGCCCCCGGCUUUGCUCACACUCCGUCUCAUACUCAACGUUUAGAAGGAAAGUUGAGGAAAAGCCGUGGAGUGGGAGCAGGAAAGCUGAUUUGUCGCCCGUUUUGUUCUGUCAACCGCGGAGCAGUUUUGCUCAAACCCCUCCCCCCGAUCAUUUUUUUGCCUCUCAACUUUGAUUAGCUCGUGAAUUUCCAAAAUAGCGAGACGUUGCUGUUCGCCGAAGUUAAACUCCAAAGUUUAAAAACUCGAGCCCGGAGAUUUUAGGUGUUUCUGUAAAGCACGAAGUCGAGCGACUCGGUGACCUUUCUGCCCGCCGGCUUUGCGGGCCCCGCCGCAGUUCUCCCCCAGCCCCCUCCUCGCAAGUACAACUGACAUAUAUUUAGGAGCAGUCAUAACUCUUGAGAAGCCUACAGCUUAGCUAGUAAGAGCCGCCAGCCAGCCAGCUGCAAACAUUCAGCUGCUGUGGGCAUGGAAUCACACUCAACAUCACAAGAUGUGUGUACCAAGACUGAGACUGCAGGAAGAGCAGAUCGCGGCUCAGCUCACGCUCACUUAAGAUGGCAGCGCACGGAGGCCAAGCUGGCAGAAUGUUGCACGUUAUUCAUUUCAAAUUCUUUCAAAUAGUUCUGUCUUUGCUUAAUGUUUAACCUAGUAUGUGCAACCCUGCAGAUGAGUGCCCAUAUAACAUGACACCUCCGUUCUACUGUAUACUGGGGGAGACAAAGCCAAGUCAAGCAUGCCUCGGCCAGGCUGGAGAUGGAUCUAGACCAAGUGUGAGCCCAUCAGCCAACUCAAAUGCGUCUUCACGCGGACUCGGAGCUUACAUCGUUGUGGACUGCUUUGAAACGGCAAGAGACGUGGCGAUGUUUGAAUGUCUUCACCAGUCUGGAAGAAUGAUCACCUUCUCCUUGGGUUGUUGCUACUUGGUAUCUGGAGUCUGCCUUCUCCAUUAUCAUGGGACCCACCCUGGAUAGGAAACCCUGACCACCCCUGCAGACAGAACCAUGCUUGGUCAAGGUCACUCUUGUUGCGAUCAUUUAAGAUGAUCUUUUUUUUAAGAUGCUCUUUAAAACAUUUAAUCUUGUUAUGACUCUCAUAUAUUUUAGAUUGCCCAAAACCAUAGUUCUAGCAAAAGUUGAGAUACUCUUGACGCAUCCAUUUUUCGCAACACAUCCAGUCUUUUAAUGAAUACUGAUCAGGUCUUUUUUCCCAUAAUGCUGCUUGAUGCAGGCCCAAUAUCUUCCAGGUCCAAUUUCUUGAUUUUUCUCUACAGUGGACCUAGUACAGUAUAUUUCAAGUAUGGGAUGUAAAUAUAUGUCAUUGGUCAGAGAGCAGUGUGAUCUUUUAGGGGAGUGUUCCUGGUCAGGAUGUGCACAGAUCACGUGGAUGGGGCCACAGUGACAUCUUUAGCUGUCGGAAGAGUGUCUGCAGUCUAGCAGAUAACUCCUUUGUUAUGACAAGGGCGCUUUUUAAACCAAUUAUAAAACACUAUUUUGAGCAGUUUUUUGUUCAUAUAAUUUGAGUAUUUAGAAUCCUGGAUGAAUGACCUUUUAUAGAACUCUUCCAAAGAUGAGGGGGAAAAAAACCUCUUCCAAGUUAUAAUUUAUUCAUAAUAAUUAAUAAUGUACGUGUGAUCUAAAUAGACCUUCCAGUUCUUGCUCUGCCUUUUGUGCAACCAUCUGCCCUAUGCAAUGAGCCUAAUAUUCAUACAACAUCAGUUGAAAUAAACAGUUUUAUUUGUUGGCUUAACAGGAUUUAGAUGAAUGCUAUAUUCUAUUUAGUAUUAUGUUAAUAUUCUUGUAAUUCUUGUGUAACGUAAUUUUUUUUUUUUUUGCUGAGGAAGAUUCACCCUGAGCUAACAUCUGUGCCAAUCUCCCUCUGUUUUCUAUGUGGGUCAUCGCCACAUCAUGGCCACCAUUGAGUGGUGUACGUCCACACCCGGGAACCAAACCUGGGCUGCCAAAGUGGAACAUGCUGAACUUAAACACUAGGCCAU